rnacentral:rRNA from 1 species
GACGAACGCUGGCGGCGUGCCUAAUACAUGCAAGUUGAGCGCUGAAGGUUGGUACUUGUACCAACUGGAUGAGCAGCGAACGGGUGAGUAACGCGUGGGGAAUCUGCCUUUGAGCGGGGGACAACAUUUGGAAACGAAUGCUAAUACCGCAUAAAAACUUUAAACACAAGUUUUAAGUUUGAAAGAUGCAAUUGCAUCACUCAAAGAUGAUCCCGCGUUGUAUUAGCUAGUUGGUGAGGUAAAGGCUCACCAAGGCGAUGAUACAUAGCCGACCUGAGAGGGUGAUCGGCCAAAUUGGGACUGAGACACGGCCCAAACUCCUACGGGAGGCAGCAGUAGGGAAUCUUCGGCAAUGGACGAAAGUCUGACCGAGCAACGCCGCGUGAGUGAAGAAGGUUUUCGGAUCGUAAAACUCUGUUGGUAGAGAAGAACGUUGGUGAGAGUGGAAAGCUCAUCAAGUGACGGUAACUACCCAGAAAGGGACGGCUAACUACGUGCCAGCCGCCGCAGUAA